rnacentral:lncRNA from 1 species
UAAUAUUAUUAGGCAAUAAAUAAUUGUAGGCAAUAAUCAAGACAUGUGUUCCACAAUUUUCUGUAGACUUGCACUUUAACUAGCCCGAACAUUGUUCCUCCUUUCUUUGUUUGUCAUUUUCGAGAAAGUUUAGUGUGCAUUUUAACACGAACUUGGCAAUAUUUUCGAAUAACUUUUGUUCAGACAACACAGUAUCUUCUUGUAGCUGAGGAGUUAGUUCUUGAAGAAAAGAUGAAUUAUCCGCUUCGUCUGAUUUAUUUCUUCCUUCUUUUACAUCAUAUUGAUAAAUUAAAGAUCUCUUUUCCUUCAUGAACUGACUUAAAACAAAUUUUCUACGAUUAUUUUGAGCCUCUAAUGAUGUUGGUGUACCGAAUAAGGUUUAAUAAAUUUUCUAUGGCAUCUUGAGUAAAUCUUCAUGUUAAAAUUAACUAAAAUCAAUCUUCAAGGAGCUCCUUGUGCAACUGAAGGAUGGAAGCUGUCGAAAAAAGGAUACCAGUUUGCCAUGGCUUUCAACAACCUUUUUUGCCUACAUGACAUUGACGAAUGACUUCGAUCACAUUUUUUCAAGUCUGAAUAGUUUCAUUAUGUUUGUCAAGAUUUUGAUACUUAAUUCCAUCAUCGGCGAUCGAGAAGGCAUGAGUUCAAGCCAGGAACGAAUCAGAUCAAUAAAUUUUGCCACUAAUAAGAUUGACCAAUCAGACUCCUGGAUUGUCGAAUAUCUCAGGCUCGUACUUGUUGCAUUAAAAAAAUUAUUGCAUCAGCAACAUUCAUUUUGGGAAAGUGGCUGGGGCUUAUGACACAUUCAGAAAGCUUUGAAAGAAUUUCAAUUCCUCAACUUUUUCUAACUCAUCGAGUAUUUGAGAAUGUUUUACUGAUACUUUAUGGUUUGAUAAAUAUAUUUCUUCCGCAAAAAAUGAUGGCAAAAUAAUUUCAAUAUUGUUUAAUGAAGAUGUACGAAGAUUUUUUAGAAAGUGAGGAAUAUAAUAGGAAAAUAUUAAUUUUCUUUCGGAUUUACUGGAUCAGGGACGAAGUUGACAAAUUCAUUUUUUGUUACAAUACACUGCACUAUACAUUUCUAUUUUUGAAAAAUAUAUUGCAAUGAAUAAGUAUUGGCUAAUUAUGAUAAAUAAUAAAAUCAAGCCCACAAAGUAUUUCAAAAAUGUCCUCAAAGCCCUUCAAAAUAGACAAUAUGACAGCUGACGAUUUCAAGUGAAUCAGUAAAGAGAAGAGGUAAAUGCUCUUCUUCUAUUAAUUGUCCACUCCAUAACUGACAUAGAAGAUUGCGAGAUGCAAUAAAGGUAGUAAACUCGACUCUCUCUGCGGAGUAGACCUCAUUAAUUAUAAGAUUGCCAUUACGCUCUCUGCUAUUGAAGUGUUUGAUCCUUGUUCCUAGAUAUUUAACUAUAGAAGGUAGUCCAAUCUCUACGGUAACUGCAGUAGACAGAGUUCUAAGAUACUUGGGGCAUGGAACUGUAAGGAAAUUCGACUUGAAGAUUUGAUCAUUGAGGGCCGUACUAACAUUUUGCCACAGAAGACAAACAGAGAGAGAGAAGACAAUGUGAAAAUCUUCUUGUAUUGGAUUUUUUCAAGAGUAAUGUCGUCUGUUCUAUGAUGAAAGACAAUUUUGAAGUAUGAAUUGGCUCCAAGUCUGGGGAUAACUCUUUUGAUCCUAAAUAUGCAGCAAUGUUGAAUAGUUCAGUUACUGAUUUGAUGACAUUAAAGCCUUUGUGUUAAGACAGUGGGAGACUGAACUAUUGCUGGGCUUAUGAUCCCCUUGAAAAAUUCGAAAGGUAAGGUCUUCUUGGAUGUCGAAGUCCCUACCUUCAGUCGUUUCUAGCUUAAGGAGGGCCAAUUUAGGGGAUUUAAUUAGUAUAAAUCCAUACUGUAAUGUUUCAAGUAUUAACUUAUCAUAAAGCUCGUUAACGGUUAGCGCCUCUUCUUCCCCAAACAUUUUGAGCUCCAAGGCUUUCUGACGCUCGUUUUCGAGCUGGAGUCGUAGGUCACUAUUGUAUGCUCGGUUAGGUCUAUGAAGAGGGGGAGGAGAAGAGAGGUAGAGCGGAAUGUUUGGGGAUACUCAAGGUAUAUCAUCCUUUUUCAAUCUCCUGAAAAGUUAAGUAAUUCAAUUAAGUACAUAUGUCAAUCUAGUCAAAGUUCUAUAUUUUCAUUUUAAAGUAACUUAUACUUUUACUGAAAGCUAGAACCUGUUUUUAAGCUUGUACCUAUGAGACCCCUACCUUAGCUCCAGUCGCCGAUUAAGUUGACGACCACUUCCCUGUUUUUGGUCUACGGAGUGAUUAAUAAGACUCAACUUGGACAAGAUUGCAGGAAAACACGAAGGCUUGGUAACUUAGAGUAGUCUGGGAAUCUUUAAAAUAACAUAAACUCGGGAAAUAUGGAUUCGACUACAACACAGGAUAUUACAUUCAAAUAAAGGAGUGAUCUGUUAACAGCGUUUUGAUCAGCUAAGAAUUGACGUCUAUUAAGUAUAGAAGAACAUCAUUAUCUUCUACACUAUCGUAUUUUAACAGCAACUAUAAUAUUUAUGUUAAUAAAUAACACAAUUUUGAGUUAAGAAGAGUGUGGAGCUGAAAUGAUCAAGCAAACAACUAUCAUGAAAUGUUUAUAUACUUAUUCAUCAUAUAUUUUAAUAAUAAAAAUUAAAUAUUUUAAAUAUAUCAACUA